UCCACGAGAUUGCUAUAAACGGAGGUCGGAGCCAGCUCCAAAUGGGCGGGACAUCAGCUCCAAGUGGGCUGUACACAAACCUCCAGAGUCUUUUGAGUGGUUUAUUUAAUCUCAUGGCGUUAAUGCAUGUCAAUAAAUAAAUAAAAAAGGAAGACGACGACAACUUCCCUAGGCCUUUCAGCGCCAAGAAAGAUGAGUUUGGAUGGGAUAUACGCUGCAAAUUAUGGACACUAAAGACCAUUUGCAGAUUAACAUGAAUAACUUAAGAAGAUGGAGGUGUGCCAUCCUGCUUGACAAAUUCUCUUUAGAGUAAGUGAUUUGAUAAAACACCACGAGUGUGAAAGUGCAUUUUACUUUAGUUAAUGUUAACUUGUUAACAGUGAAUUAUUUUAGGAUGACAUUGGACUGAAUGUUUAGUGACUAAUGACACUUCAUUCCAGUAAAAAUAUAAUCCAUAGCCUUGGAGUGAACGCAGCAGCAAAGUGUUCCAGUGCUGAUAAAAAUCAAGCAGGUUAAAACCUCCGGUUCCUUAAAUAUCUGUUCUACAGUACAGUUUGGGGUUGGACAGAUUUUGUAAUAGUUUUGAAGUCUGAUGCUUUUCAGGCCUUCAUUUAUUUGUUCAUAAAUGCUGUAGAAACAAUAUUAUUGUAAAUUGUAAUAAUAUUUUACAAUAACUCUCU